rnacentral:rRNA from 1 species
UAAAGACUCUCGGCAAUGGAUAUCUCGGCUCUUGCAUCGAUGAAGAACGUAGCGAAAUGCGAUACUUGGUGUGAAUUGCAGAAUCCCGUGAACCAUCGAGUCUUUGAACGCAAGUUGCGCCCGAAGCCAUUAGGUUGAGGGCACGCCUGCCUGGGUGUUGCAC